CAAAAAGAGAUCUUCUACGCUUCAAGCAGUUCAAAAUUGCUAAAAACGAUGAACGGAAUAAAGUGAGAGCGGCUAAAGCCGGUUUCACUACUUCCCGUCCGAACAACUCCAUAUCUCACCAACAAAAUUACUUACCAGCAAAUGCCUGGGCUUCUUCAGUAGAUACAGCUCUUAAAUGUAGUAAAUCCGUUUUAUUACCAACAAGCAUGAUAACGAUGUUGCUGUCUGCAUGCUCACGAAGCUCCUUUAACCAGCGGCCCACAUUAUCGAAUGAAGAUUGUUUUGUGAUAUCGUAAACAAUCAGAGCACCAACAGCACCACGGUAAUAAGCUGAGGUAAUGGCCCGAUAACGUUCCUGACCGGCAGUAUCCCAGAUCUGUGCUUUAAUUUUUUUGUUGUCAAGAACAAUAUUUCUAGUAGCAAAUUCAACACCAAUAGUACUCUUGCUUUCGAUAUUAAAUUCAUUCCUAGUGAAACGCAUAAGUAGGUUUGACUUUCCAACACCACUAUCCCCAAUCAGCACAGUCUUGAACAAAUAAUCGUAUUCGUCCUCUUGACACAUGGCUAAGUUCUCUAUCGGUAAAUCUACGAACAAUUUUUGUUAACAAAUAUUUAAGGUCAAAUAAUAUCAAGGUAUAUACCUGUAAAUUACAAUGAACCCUGCUUUCG